AGCCGUGGGCCAAGGUGGUGACGGGCAAGGCCCGAGAGCUGGCACGGGGCAGCAAAGCUGGGCAUGCCCGGGGCUCCUGGGCCUCCUGCCCAGACCUGUGGCCAGGGCCCCGAGGCUGAGCUCCCUCAGCCCCUGGGCAGCAAUGGGGCCCACACUGAGCCCCAGGGAGCCGCGGGCACACCUCUUGCUCCUGCAGCCUCUGCCUGGGCCAGCCCAGCCAGGCUCUCCCGCAGAGGCCGCAGCCAGAGCCACGGGGCUCAUGCCCUGCCCUCCUCGUUCUGUGUCUUGCAGCCCCUCAGCCUCCACAGGGAAUUGCUGCCAGGGCCACGGGACUCAUGCCCUGCCCUCCUCGUUCUGUGUCUUGCAGCCCCUCAGCUUCCGCAGGGAAUUGCUGCCAGGGCCGCCGCUGCCACAGCUGCUCAGGAACAACCGUGGCCUGAUGGAGCUGUGUCUGCAGCACCCCUCUGCGCACAAGGCACUGCCGAGAGAGAGGAGCCAGAUGUGGCGUUUGGAAGAGGAGGAGAAUCCGCUUCUCCCCUCGAGCAUGUCUCUCAGGCUCCAGCCCCGCUCUGGGCUAGUGGCACGUGGGAGGGAAUGCAUGACCAGUGCCAACACCAGGCACGGGGACGUUCCCGAGCAUAGCUGUGCUAAAGCCCCUCAUCUUUAGUCAUUGUUUUUAGGAAAGUUUUUACUUGGAAGUCGUAUUUUUCAAGUUUAAGAAAGUUGACGGUUGUUGGGCAAUGGGGUCCUAGUAUUUCCCGCCGUUAGUUGUAGCUUUUACAAGUCUUAAAGUUCAAUAAAGCUCAGGUUUUCCAUACAUUGCCAUGAUCUUUUGCUGUUCCACACGAGAUGGGAGGCAGCAAUUCAUGGGUUUGCACGGGAGCUCCACACCAGCACUCCUGCACCAACAUAUUGCUACUUCCAAAAGACUUUCCUUUUGUUUACAAAAUAAAGAGACAUGCUUAUAAGAAGUUAUCACAGGAAUAGAGAAGGAAGCCCUGAGAGGAAGCCUUGGAUGAGAGCCAAGAGUUUCUUCAAAAACCAGUAUGAUACUAGCAAGUGGAGAUCACCCCAUUUGGAAUUCAUAAAUUUCUAGGGCCUGCCUCAACAAGCUUCUGUGUCUUUCACCAGGGUGCUAGAAGGUUCUGCUGCAAAUGUUUCAGAAACAAAGUUUUUAAAUCUGAGAACUGAUGUCAGUUUUUGGUGGGUCCUCCUCCUGCAUCUGGACUUCUCAGCUCAAGUCUCUCAGGAAGAAAUGACGCAGAACCAGGAUUCACAUACUGAUUUGUAUGAAAAGUCAAACUGAUAUCAUGUACCAUCUUGAAAGUUCCAUUUCAAGGUCCUUUUUACAAGGCCUGAACAGAAAAGUUUCAUGUCCCUAAACCUUCAAGGGCAAAAAAAUUACCAAACCCCUAAGAAAAUUGUUCUAAAAGUGAGCCAGUCCUCCUGGACCUUUUUUUUUUUUUCCUUUCUUUGUUAUUCAGAGUUGUAGGAAAUAACUUCCCUUGAUUUGGGGGGAGGUGUUUGUUGUUUUUGUUAUUUUCUUAAAGCAAAUGAAAUUAAUGGUUGUGACAAACAGAAAAGGAGGAGUAAAAGUAAAGCACCACCAGCUUCCUUCAUUAAAGUUUGUUUUCCACUUCACUGUGUCUAGUAAAAGAGCCCAGGAAUAUCUCUACAACCCAGCAAUGCUGCAUUAUUUUGUUUUGUUUAAAUGAGGUAACACAUGCCAAUCCAGCAGCAAGAAAAGAUUCUUUCUUUGCUGCAGUGAGAGUAUGUGCAGCAAAUAGCUUCCAUUAGUUCACAGAUUCAAAUUUUAUCU